rnacentral:rRNA from 1 species
AUUGAACGCUGGCGGCAUGCUUUACACGUGCAGGUCGAACGGCAGCACGGACUUCGGUCUGGUGGCGAGUGGCGAACGGGUGAGUAAUGUAUCGGAACGUACCAUUGAGUGGGGGAUAACGUAGCGAAAGUUACGCUAAUACCGCAUAUUCUCUCCGGAGGAAGGCAGGGGACCGCAAGGCCUUGCGCUCUUUGAGCGGCCGAUAUCAGAUUAGCUAGUUGGUGGGGUAAAAGCUCACCGAGGCGACGAUCUGUAGCGGGUCUGAGAGGAUGAUCCGCCACACUGGAACUGGGACACGGUCCAGACUCCUACGGGAGGCAGCAGUGGGGAAUUUUGGACAAUGGGGGCAACCCUGAUCCAGCCAUGCCGCGUGAGUGAAGAAGGCCUUCGGGUUGUAAAGCUCUUUCGGCCGGGAAAAAAUCGCAUGGGCUGAUAUCCUGUGUGGAUGAUGGUACCGGAAUAAGAAGCACCGGCUAACUACGUGCCAGCAGCCGCCGUAA